CUACAAUGGCGCAUACAAAGAGAAGCGACCUCGCGAGAGCAAGCGGACCUCAUAAAGUGCGUCGUAGUCCGGAUUGGAGUCUGCAACUCGACUCCAUGAAGUCGGAAUCGCUAGUAAUCGUGGAUCAGAAUGCCACGGUGAAUACGUUCCCGGGCCUUGUACACACCGCCCGUCACACCAUGGGAGUGGGUUGCAAAAGAAGUAGGUAGCUUAACCUUCGGGAGGGCGCUACCACUUUGUGAUUCAUGACUGGGGUGAAGUCGUAACAAGGUAACCGUAGGGGAACCUGCGGUUGGAUCACCUCCUUA
rnacentral:rRNA from 1 species